ACUGCGAAAGCAUUUGCCA
rnacentral:siRNA from 1 species